UACGGGGGGGGGUAAGCGUUGUUCGGAAUUACUGGGCGUAAAGGGCUCGUAGGCGGCCAACUAAGUCGGACGUGAAAUCCCUCAGCUUAACUGGGGAACUGCGUCCGAUACUGGAUGGCUUGGAUUUGGGAGAGGGAUGCGGAAUUCCAGGUGUAGCGGUGAAAUGCGUAGAUAUCGUAAGGAAGACCAGUGGCGAAGGCGGGUCUCUGGACAGUUCCUGACGCUGAGGCACGAAGGUCAGGGGAGCAAACGGG
rnacentral:rRNA from 1 species